CCCUCCAUAAUGCCAACUAUAAUAAACUUCAGAGCUCAGGGUGAACCAUUCAAGAAAUAUAUGUUUGCUGAUGAUGUUUUAAAGAAAGUCACCUCAGUGAACUGGUGGAAGUCACUUAAGCACUUGAAUUCAAAGACUGUUGAAGUAAUGAUCUCACUUUUAACAGCAGUAGCUUCUUCUGCUGGUGUAGAAAGAAUAUUUUCUUCCUUUGGACUAAUUCAUUCCAAAUUGAGAAAUCGUUUGGGACCUGAAAAAGCAGGAAAGCUUGUUUUUCUUUUCCAGAUUAUGAACAAACAGGAAAAUGAAGAUAAAGGAGUGUGAUGUGAUUAACUUCGGAGCUUACUCGACAAUUGGAUUGAGGAGAACAAGUACCGCAAUAAAGAAGCCCAUUUACUCAAUCUGCCUCUUGGUCCUCCUGCUCAUUCUAACAUCUGGCAUCACAAACAGGAUCCCAGGGGUGCGUCGUGCCUGAUCACCACAUCUCGCCAUGGAUUCAAUGAACACUCUGUGAGCAAGCUGGUGCCAGUGGAAGAACAACCCAGAACACCAUGGGUCUACUGUCACGAUGAAGACUGUGUUGUGUGUUUUGUGUUGUUUGUCUUGUUAUUACCGUUAUUUUGGUGACCAUUGUAUAAGGAGGGUUAACGCAUAUAGCAGCAAAGGUCAGUGCAUGGUAUAACCUGCGUGGAGAGCACGAUCUGUCCAACUGGGGGAAUCAAGUAAUGUACUGCAUUCCAGGAGAACACCAUCCCUUCCCAGUUCCUAAAUGGCGGUUUCCUUACCUAGUCUUUGACCAGUUGGGGCCCAGCCUGCUGCUAUUGCGAACGAAAAAUGGAGGACAGAAAUGGGUUUAUUGCACGCAAAUAAAAAGGCACAGAAUGGGGGUUAAAAAUGGGAAUGGAUAAAUUUUAUUGCAUGCCUCUUACAGGUGGACCCACAAAGGGAAAAAAAGGAUGCCCUGGCCUGAAAUAGAACAACCGUUGCUGCUAUUCUUGCUAUUGUAAGCCCUACCCAAAUCCAGCAAUGUGAAGUGGCAAAGGGAGGAAACACGUGGACUGCUACACCCCCAAGUGGUGGUAAUGAGGCAAAUAAGGACUUAAAGGAUUUACCCGUGGAAAACUGUACUACUUAUCCCCCAUGGGAAUUUGGCAAUGUUGGUAUGUGGUGUAUGGAUUAGAGGGUGGUGGGUCCUCACCCGGUGGAGAAUCUCAAAUUUAUCAGGAAAUAUUGCAUGGUAUUCCUUAAAAUAUGCCAUAAUGAAUGACAGUGGGAAACAGUCAUUCAGACAUGUGGUUUAUCAUGAAGGGCCCAAAAAUAUGACUAUCUGGCAUCCUGGGCAUCUGGGUUAUGGGACCCAAUAUUGGGGUGUGGUGUUACCAUGUGUAACCAUAAUGGUACCUUGAUAGAGGAUAAUCCUUAGGCUUGCAGUUACGUACAUACCAAACUGGGCAUAAAGUCUCCCCUGGAAUGCUGGGAAUAUGACAAUUUAACCGCUUUGCAGAAUGUAACCCUACAGGUAAUGUGGAUGCCAAGCUGGAAGGAUGCUGAUUUAAGCUGGCUGCAGCCUGGAGCUGGAAAUACUUCCUUAUGGGUGAACGUGUGGGAGCCACUAUGGGAGCAGGAGCAACCAGAGCUCAUCAAUAUGUCCUUUCAGUCCAUUACAUGGAUGGGUGGUACACCUCAGAGAAUGGUGGAUGAAUCGGGCACACCCCAACUACAGAAUAUCCAUAGAAGGGUUAAAGCAACUAUUUAAUUGGUGGGUGAGGGGAUACACAUGGAAUUGUCGCUGCAGAAGGAAUUUAUGGGCAGUAGGAACCACAGGGUUGAUUGUAUGGACUUUGGGGGACUGUUGGGUAAUUAAGUAAUUAAUAAGCCAAAAUGUAAAACUUCAACAACAAAUCAAUGAACUACUGGCACAGCAACUGUCAGGGUUCCUUCCCCACUCUGAAC